UACGGGGGGGGCAAGCGUUGUUCGGAAUUACUGGGCGUAAAGGGCUCGUAGGCGGCCAACUAAGUCGGAUGUGAAAUCCCCAGGCUUAACCUGGGAACUGCAUCCGAUACUGGAUGGCUUGAAUCCGGGAGAGGGAUGCAGAAUUCCAGGUGUAGCGGUGAAAUGCGCAGAUAUCAGGAGGAACACCGGUGGCGAAGGCGGGUCUCUGGGCCGAAAUUGACGCUGAGGAGCGAAAGCGUGGGGAGCAAACAGG
rnacentral:rRNA from 1 species